rnacentral:rRNA from 1 species
AGAGAGAGACAUGCGCGUAUAUCAAUAAGCGGAGGAAAAGAAACUAACAAGGAUUCCCCUAGUAACGGCGAGUGAAGGGGGAAGAGCUCAAAUUUGAAAUCUUAAAGGGUUUCCCUUUACGAAUUGUAGUUUAAAGAAGUGUUUUCUGUUGAGGUUUUGGUAAAAGUUCUUUGGAAUAGGACAUCAUAGAGGGUGAGAAUCCCGUAUUUGACCUUUACUUUCAACUUUGUGAUACACUUUCAAAGAGUCGGAUUGUUUGGGAAUGCAGUCCAAAAUGGGUGGUAAAUUUCAUCUAAAGCUAAAUAUUGGCGAGAGACCGAUAGCGAACAAGUACCGUGAGGGAAAGAUGAAAAGAACUUUGAAAAGAGAGUUAAACAGUACGUGAAAUUGUCAAAAGGGAAGCGUUUGACACCAGUGUUGUUUUUCUGAAAAUCAAUUAAAGAACUGUUUAUGCUAAGCUGUUUAGACUUUAUCAGCUAUCUGUUUAGUUUUGAGCUUUUCUUUAAUGCACUUUUCAGUUAACAAGUCAACAUCAAUUUCUUUUGCUGUAAAAAAGCUUGAGGAAGGUGGCUUGAGAUUCGUCUUAAGUGUUUAUAGCCUCUUGCCUAUGCAGUCGGAGAGAUUGAGGUCUGCAGCGUAGAUCCUUCGGGGCUAAAUGCAUUUGUGCUAAGUUAUAGCAUUUUAUAGACAACUUGUUGACUAUGAUUUGUCUUGUAGCUUACUCGCUUAUGUUAUUUUACCUACGCUUAGGAUGUUGACGCAUGAGAUAUACGC